GACACGACUCUCGGCAAUGGAUAUCUCGGCUCUCGCAUCGAUGAAGAGCGCAGCGAAAUGCGAUACUUGGUGUGAAUUGCA
rnacentral:rRNA from 2 species